AUAUCAAUAAGCGGAGGAAAAGAAACUAACAAGGAUUCCCCUAGUAACUGCGAGUGAAGAGGGAAAAGCUCAAAUUUAAAAUCUGGCAGCCUUUGGUUGUCCGAGUUGUAAUCUAGAGAAGCGUUAUCCGCGUCGGACCGUGUACAAGUCUCCUGGAAUGGAGCGUCAUAGAGGGUGAGAAUCCCGUCUUCGACACGGACUACCGGGGCUUUGUGAUGCGCUCUCAAAGAGUCGAGUUGUUUGGGAAUGCAGCUCAAAAUGGGUGGUAAAUUCCAUCUAAAGCUAAAUAUUGGCGAGAGACCGAUAGCGAACAAGUACCGUGAGGGAAAGAUGAAAAGAACUUUGGAAAGAGAGUUAAACAGUACGUGAAAUUGCUGAAAGGGAAACGCUUGAAGUCAGUCGCGUUGGCCGAGGAUCAGCCUUGCUUUUGCAUGGCUUACUUCGCGGUUCAACGGGUCAGCAUCAAUUUUGACCGUUGGAUAAAGAUAAGGGGAAUGUGGCAUCUUCGGAUGUGUUAUAGCCCUUUGUUGCAUGCAAUGGUUGGGAUUGAGGAACUCAGCACGCCGCAAGGCCGGGAAUUCGUUCCACGUUCGUGCUUAGGAUGCUGGCAUAAUGGCUUUAAUCGACCCGUCUUGAAACACGGACCAAGGAGUCUAACAUGCCUGCAAGUGUUUGGGUGUAAAACCCAUGCGCGUAAUGAAAGUGAUAAGUUGAGAUCCCUGUCGUGGGGAGCAUCGACGCCCGGACCUGACCUUUUGUGAAGGAUCCGCGGUAGAGCAUGUAUGUUGGGACCCGAAAGAUGGUGAACUAUGCCUGAAUAGGGUGAAGCCAGAGGAAACUCUGGUGGAGGCUCGUAGCGAUUCUGACGUGCAAAUCGAUCGUCAAAUUUGGGUAUAGGGGCGAAAGACUAAUCGAACCAUCUAGUAGCUGGUUCCUGC
rnacentral:rRNA from 1 species